rnacentral:lncRNA from 1 species
AAAAAAUUAAUGUGGUUGUACAAAAGAUUUUGCUCUUAGCAUAACGAUUGUGGAGGUAUUUGACAACGAACUAUCAUAAUGUCUAUAUCUUACUUUCACAGGAUACUGCAGUGACAAUAAAAUUUAAGAAAAGCUUAAAUAUAUAAUUGUAUAUAGUUGAUUUAUUACCUAUAUAAUUUAGACAAAGCAAAAAAUGCUAAAAUCUGCUGAAACUAUUUAGGGCAUAUAUCAUUAUUUAUUGUACUCAAAUUUUCUAUAUACUUGAACAUUUUGUGAGAAAAAUGUUGGAAAAUAAAAUUUAAAAGUAAAUUAGCACACUUAUUUGCAUGAUGCAAGACCAGAGAGAAAACAAAAACAUAAGGCUUCAAAAUCUUUGAUGAAGACAUAAUUAGAGACUACUCAAUCAUAGAUUGCCCUAAAACUUUUAUGUCAUCCCUGGAAAGCUAUUUUAUCAAUAUAACUAAAUUUCUGUUUAAUCUAGCAAUUUGAGAAAUAACCAUUAAUUUAAUUCAUAGCCUCAUUAUUCCUCCUAUAUGAAAAGCAUCAUUCAAAAAUGAAGAUGAAUUAAAUACAUCUGGAGGAUAACGAACGCUGAGUGAUUCUGUCACCGAUAGAACCAUAGUAAAGGAAACACUAAAGGUUAUUCUUCAAGCAGAAGAAAAAAAGCAUCCAAAAUGUAAUACCAGACAUGCAGAAAAUGACAAAAAAACGUGAAACAUUUAACAAUGUGGGUAAAUCUAAGUAAAUGUUGGCUGUAUAAUAAAAAUAAACUUAAUUUUCUAUAGUGUGCAUGUGGUGAUUUUCAUUUUUAAUCAUGGCAGGAUAACUGGCUAUACAUAAUGUAAAACCUGGAAAAUCAAAUGGAAUAAUUAUUUCCAAAUCUGAAGAACAAGCAGCAGAAAACUAUGAUCCCCAAGAGCAAAUGGAAACAGGUAAUGCAAGAUCCGUCACUGCCUCAGUUUUCUUAUGGAAGCACUUUUCUGGCAGCAGUACAGAGAGAGGAAGCAUCAAGACACAGUUUCAUUGAGAUAAAAUGUGAACUCUACAAGGAGAAGGAAGUAUUUUUGCUCCUACUACAUCUACAGUACUGCAAGAAGGGCUUGUAUGAAUUUGGUAAGCAAGAAGAGUUGUUGUUGUAAUAUCUUUUAGUCUACCCAAAACUCAAAUAAAGGCAAAUAAGACUAAGGUAUUUUUUUAUUUACCUAAAGAGUUUUAAAAAUCCUAAUUCAUACCCUAUAUUAGCUCCUAUGUUAAUAGGCAAAUUUAUAAUAUUUAAUCUUUUUUGUCUAAAACAAGAAUUGGCAGUUUGGAUUACACAUUUAGUCAUUUUGGAUGACUGAGAAUGGUAA